rnacentral:rRNA from 1 species
GUGUCAGCAGCCGCGGUAAGACGAAGGUGGCGAGCGUUACUCGGAAUUACUAGGCGUAAAGCGUGGGCAGGUGGUUCGGUAAGUCUGUUGUGAAAGCUCCCGGCUCAACUGGGAGAGGCCAAUGGAAACUGCCGGACUUGAAUCGAGGAGAGGUCACUGGAAUUCCUGGUGUAGCGGUGAAAUGCGUAGAGAUCAGGAGGAACACCAAUGGCGAAAGCAGGUGACUGGACUCGUAUUGACACUCAUCCACGAAAGCUAGGGGAGCAAACAGGAUUAGAUACCCUGGUAGUCC